GGGUUGUGAGGUUAAGCGACUAAGCGUACACGGUGGAUGCCCUGGCAGUCAGAGGCGAUGAAGGACGUGCUAAUCUGCGAUAAGCGUCGGUAAGGUGAUAUGAACCGUUAUAACCGGCGAUUUCCGAAUGGGGAAACCCAGUGUGUUUCGACACACUAUCAUUAACUGAAUCCAUAGGUUAAUGAGGCGAACCGGGGGAACUGAAACAUCUAAGUACCCCGAGGAAAAGAAAUCAACCGAGAUUCCCCCAGUAGCGGCGAGCGAACGGGGAGGAGCCCAGAGCCUGAAUCAGUGUGUGUGUUAGUGGAAGCGUCUGGAAAGGCGCGCGAUACAGGGUGACAGCCCCGUACACAAAAAUGCACAUAUUGUGAGCUCGAUGAGUAGGGCGGGACACGUGGUAUCCUGUCUGAAUAUGGGGGGACCAUCCUCCAAGGCUAAAUACUCCUGACUGACCGAUAGUGAACCAGUACCGUGAGGGAAAGGCGAAAAGAACCCCGGCGAGGGGAGUGAAAAAGAACCUGAAACCGUGUACGUACAAGCAGUGGGAGCACGCUUAGGCGUGUGACUGCGUACCUUUUGUAUAAUGGGUCAGCGACUUAUAUUCUGUAGCAAGGUUAACCGAAUAGGGGAGCCGAAGGGAAACCGAGUCUUAACUGGGCGUUAAGUUGCAGGGUAUAGACCCGAAACCCGGUGAUCUAGCCAUGGGCAGGUUGAAGGUUGGGUAACACUAACUGGAGGACCGAACCGACUAAUGUUGAAAAAUUAGCGGAUGACUUGUGGCUGGGGGUGAAAGGCCAAUCAAACCGGGAGAUAGCUGGUUCUCCCCGAAAGCUAUUUAGGUAGCGCCUCGUGAAUUCAUCUCCGGGGGUAGAGCACUGUUUCGGCAAGGGGGUCAUCCCGACUUACCAACCCGAUGCAAACUGCGAAUACCGGAGAAUGUUAUCACGGGAGACACACGGCGGGUGCUAACGUCCGUCGUGAAGAGGGAAACAACCCAGACCGCCAGCUAAGGUCCCAAAGUCAUGGUUAAGUGGGAAACGAUGUGGGAAGGCCCAGACAGCCAGGAUGUUGGCUUAGAAGCAGCCAUCAUUUAAAGAAAGCGUAAUAGCUCACUGGUCGAGUCGGCCUGCGCGGAAGAUGUAACGGGGCUAAACCAUGCACCGAAGCUGCGGCAGCGACGCUUAUGCGUUGUUGGGUAGGGGAGCGUUCUGUAAGCCUGCGAAGGUGUGCUGUGAGGCAUGCUGGAGGUAUCAGAAGUGCGAAUGCUGACAUAAGUAACGAUAAAGCGGGUGAAAAGCCCGCUCGCCGGAAGACCAAGGGUUCCUGUCCAACGUUAAUCGGGGCAGGGUGAGUCGACCCCUAAGGCGAGGCCGAAAGGCGUAGUCGAUGGGAAACAGGUUAAUAUUCCUGUACUUGGUGUUACUGCGAAGGGGGGACGGAGAAGGCUAUGUUGGCCGGGCGACGGUUGUCCCGGUUUAAGCGUGUAGGCUGGUUUUCCAGGCAAAUCCGGAAAAUCAAGGCUGAGGCGUGAUGACGAGGCACUACGGUGCUGAAGCAACAAAUGCCCUGCUUCCAGGAAAAGCCUCUAAGCAUCAGGUAACAUCAAAUCGUACCCCAAACCGACACAGGUGGUCAGGUAGAGAAUACCAAGGCGCUUGAGAGAACUCGGGUGAAGGAACUAGGCAAAAUGGUGCCGUAACUUCGGGAGAAGGCACGCUGAUAUGUAGGUGAGGUCCCUCGCGGAUGGAGCUGAAAUCAGUCGAAGAUACCAGCUGGCUGCAACUGUUUAUUAAAAACACAGCACUGUGCAAACACGAAAGUGGACGUAUACGGUGUGACGCCUGCCCGGUGCCGGAAGGUUAAUUGAUGGGGUUAGCCGCAAGGCGAAGCUCUUGAUCGAAGCCCCGGUAAACGGCGGCCGUAACUAUAACGGUCCUAAGGUAGCGAAAUUCCUUGUCGGGUAAGUUCCGACCUGCACGAAUGGCGUAAUGAUGGCCAGGCUGUCUCCACCCGAGACUCAGUGAAAUUGAACUCGCUGUGAAGAUGCAGUGUACCCGCGGCAAGACGGAAAGACCCCGUGAACCUUUACUAUAGCUUGACACUGAACAUUGAGCCUUGAUGUGUAGGAUAGGUGGGAGGCUUAGAAGUGUGGACGCCAGUCUGCAUGGAGCCGACCUUGAAAUACCACCCUUUAAUGUUUGAUGUUCUAACGUUGACCCGUAAUCCGGGUUGCGGACAGUGUCUGGUGGGUAGUUUGACUGGGGCGGUCUCCUCCUAAAGAGUAACGGAGGAGCACGAAGGUUGGCUAAUCCUGGUCGGACAUCAGGAGGUUAGUGCAAUGGCAUAAGCCAGCUUGACUGCGAGCGUGACGGCGCGAGCAGGUGCGAAAGCAGGUCAUAGUGAUCCGGUGGUUCUGAAUGGAAGGGCCAUCGCUCAACGGAUAAAAGGUACUCCGGGGAUAACAGGCUGAUACCGCCCAAGAGUUCAUAUCGACGGCGGUGUUUGGCACCUCGAUGUCGGCUCAUCACAUCCUGGGGCUGAAGUAGGUCCCAAGGGUAUGGCUGUUCGCCAUUUAAAGUGGUACGCGAGCUGGGUUUAGAACGUCGUGAGACAGUUCGGUCCCUAUCUGCCGUGGGCGCUGGAGAACUGAGGGGGGCUGCUCCUAGUACGAGAGGACCGGAGUGGACGCAUCACUGGUGUUCGGGUUGUCAUGCCAAUGGCACUGCCCGGUAGCUAAAUGCGGAAGAGAUAAGUGCUGAAAGCAUCUAAGCACGAAACUUGCCCCGAGAUGAGUUCUCCCUGACUCCUUGAGAGUCCUGAAGGAACGUUGAAGACGACGACGUUGAUAGGCCGGGUGUGUAAGCGCAGCGAUGCGUUGAGCUAACCGGUACUAAUGAACCGUGAGGCUUAACCUUACAACGCCGAAGGUGUUU
rnacentral:rRNA from 1 species